CCUACGGGAGGCAGCAGUGGGGAAUAUUGGACAAUGGGCGAAAGCCUGAUCCAGCCAUGCCGCGUGUGUGAAGAAGGCCUUCGGGUUGUAAAGCACUUUCAGUGGGGAAGAAAGCCUUGGGGCUAAUACCCUCGAGGAAGGACAUCACCCACAGAAGAAGCACCGGCUAACUCCGUGCCAGCAGCCGCGGUAAUACGGAGGGUGCGAGCGUUAAUCGGAAUUACUGGGCGUAAAGCGCGCGUAGGCGGUCUGAUAAGCCGGUUGUGAAAGCCCCGGGCUCAACCUGAGAACGGCAUCCGGAACUGUCAGGCUAGAGUGCAGGAGAGGAAGGUAGAAUUCCCGGUGUAGCGGUGAAAUGCGUAGAGAUCGGGAGGAAUACCAGUGGCGAAGGCGGCCUUCUGGACUGACACUGACGCUGAGGUGCGAAAGCGUGGGUAGCAAACAGGAUUAGAUACCCGAGUAGUC
rnacentral:rRNA from 1 species